ensembl:lncRNA
CAGGCCCCUGGCCAUCUAGAGGGCAGGUGAGCAGGUGCAGAGCAACACAUGUGCCUCUUGCCCCAGCCAGGGGCCUCUGAACACAUGGGGAGGGAGGCAGGAAAUAAGCCCCUUGGGCUGCAGUGCUUCAUUCACGUGCCUUCGUCCCAGCUCAUCCCUGCCACCCCAGCAUCAUGAAAAUAUUACUACUCAAAUGAGAAAACAGACUCCACAAGGUUAAAUAGCUGGCCAAGGUCACACAGCUUGUAGAUAACAGAGCAGAUGCCCCACUUGGGUAGCUGGGCUGCAGCAGCUGCUGCCCAGGCCUCCUGUCCUUCCGAGCAGACUUGCUAAUGGUGGGGGUUGCUGGCUGCUUGGGGCUGAGGAAGACCUUUGCGGGGCUCACCCCUGGGGACCCUGCAGCCAGCUGAUGGACUCUUUAGCUGAGCCCAACCGUGACCACCAGGGGGCCUUCUGCAGAUGAGGGGCUUGGUUUCCAGCACUGGCUUGUGUGCGAAGAUGGCCCUGGGAUGAAAGCGUGACCCGGUGACCGCACCUCUCCCCGCUCGCUCACCUUGGCCAGCUGCCUCAUGGUCAAGACACUAGGCACAAGAAGGGAAGAAAGGGAAAGGCUGACCUCGAUCCACGCUGCCCUGUGUUCCAGAUCCUGGAUACUUUAUGAGAGCCUCUCAGAGGCCCCCGGCUCCCUACCAGCAAGCCCAAGCCGAAAGCAGUUCUAAGCUGUUAGCCUCAGGAUUCUGGCUAGGUGGAGAGGAAUGGCUUGUUCCUGGAGUGGAAUCCUCCCCGCACCGAAUGCUAGCUGGGAGGGGAGACGGCUGGAGGACUGCCAACUGCUGGGCUCUGGGAAUGCUGCAUUUGUUCCAGCAAGGGAACUGGAACUGGAAUGCAACACAAUCAGAUGUGCUAGAGAACACUCCCCAACUUUGGUCAGCUCGUGAAUGCCUUUCUUUGUAAAAAAAAAAAAACGCUUGGACAUUUUUUAGAAACUUUAAAAAAUAAUCUUGCUAUUUCUGCCUUGAUUAUGAUAAAGUCAUGGUUUUUAUUUUUAGAUUAGCAUCUUAAUAUAAUAAGGCAAACUUAAUAUAAUAUGUAAUAAUACUCAUAAGGAAACAGAUGCCAGUUUCUCUAUUUAACAAAUGAUGCAAGGUGUUAAACUGAUUUUAAAUAACUGUCUAAAAAUGAUUUGUCAUUUAGGUUGAAUGAAUUUUCAAAUAACAUACUGUGUUUUGUUAGAGAAACACAUGAAUAUAAGACAGACUGACAAUAUUUAGCUAUACAAGAAUUUAUUAAAUAAAUAUACAAAUAGUUCUUUAUCCUGAAAAAAAAAAUGACAGACUGAAUUUCACUAUGUGUUGAUGGCAUCAAAAGAUAGUUUUUUCAUUACCUACUAUUAGAAUUCUUGAGAUUUCCCUCAAGUUAUUUUGACAAAUUUUAGUGUUUUGUUUCUAAAUGGCAAGAAAAGAGGAUAAGGUUUACAGUUGCCAUUUGCAUGAAUGUCUCAAAAAAUAAGAUACAUAAAUGUGAAGAGUAUUUUCACCAAAUGAAAGUCAAAUUACUUUUGACAAAUAAUUGUCAUUAUUAUUUUUGAUGUUAUUUUUCAAGAUAUUAGAAAAUCUUGGUUGCUCUGGAAGAACUUUAAUCAGAAGAAUAAAACAGUAUCUGAGUAAAGAGCAUCCGUAGGCUAAUUUGCAGAAUUGUUAUCAUUUAUGUGCCGUCAUUAACUUACCACACACUAACACUCAUGUUUCAUAAGCACUCUUUUUAACCAACACUUUAUUGUGGAAUUAAAUAAACACUAUAUGACCAAGAAUAAAACAAAUCAGAUCCUCAUUCAAAGAAAUAAACUGCAAAGAUCAUUGGUUGGGAAAAGCUAGAGAAAUUUCAAUGUGGUUUGGGCAUUAGAUAAUACUAAAGAAUUACUGUUAAUCUGGG